rnacentral:rRNA from 1 species
CGACCGCUGGCGGCGUGCUUAACACAUGCACGUCGAACGGAAAGGCCCUGCUUUUGUGGGGUGCUCGAGUGGCGAACGGGUGAGUAACACGUGAGUAACCUGCCCUUGACUUUGGGAUAACUUCAGGAAACUGGGGCUAAUACCGGAUAGGAGCUCCUGCUGCAUGGUGGGGGUUGGAAAGUUUCGGCGGUUGGGGAUGGACUCGCGGCUUAUCAGCUUGUUGGUGGGGUAGUGGCUUACCAAGGCUUUGACGGGUAGCCGGCCUGAGAGGGUGACCGGCCACAUUGGGACUGAGAUACGGCCCAGACUCCUACGGGAGGCAGCAGUGGGGAAUAUUGCACAAUGGGCGGAAGCCUGAUGCAGCAACGCCGCGUGCGGGAUGACGGCCUUCGGGUUGUAAACCGCUUUCGCCUGUGACGAAGCGCGAGUGACGGUAAUGGGUAAAGAAGCACCGGCUAACUACGUG